rnacentral:lncRNA from 1 species
AGAGCCACGUCUGUCCUUGCUGUGUUGUACCUGUAAACCUUUUUUCUCUCUCUCUCUCUCGUUGUGCUUGUCUUUGCUUUGUUUUAUAUGUCUAUCGCUCUGUUGCAACUCCGUUUACUCCUGUCCAACUCUCUUGUUGCCAGUCUUUUUUGUCAGUCCGUCUGUGUCUCUGCCCUUCAUCAUGAGUGAUUCCGAACUCCAGGAUCUGCUUAUGAGUGUGGAUAACCUGACUUAUCAGCGAGAGCUCAUUGAGGAUCUCGAGAGGGUUGAUGACUUGCUUGGUGAGCUGCAGGAAGAGGAAGCAGCAGCACCAGUGGCACCUGUGCCAAUGGUGAGGUGGAAGAAGAGAAACAGUGACAGAAACUUAAUCCAUGCAAGACCACGAUCAAGCAGGAAUCAGUCAAGCCAGGCUGGUUACAGUCAGAAGACGCAUCCCCCUGUCAAUGCUCCCGACACGAACUCUGAGGUGGUCUUUGCUCCAGAGACUGUUGGUAUGUACGUUAUUUGUUCUCCAUAAGCCCAAAGCAUAAAGUUCAGACAUUUGGACUUGUAUCCGUAUGGUGUAUGUGAUACAGAGUUUAGAUGUAAACUCUAUCUUUGUAUUUGAAUACAAAUUUGCCAGAAUUUUGCACUGCAGUUACACCUUUCACAGCCACUCCAUACAGUACACUGACUUUUAACUUUUUUGUACCAUUUUAACAGAGGGGUUUCUACGAGAUCUCCAGCAUUCACUUAACGAUGCCACAGGAGAUGAGGUGGAAGCACCAACCUCAAGAGCUUCUCUUCUGGCUACAUCAAACUGGAGCACACGAAAAAGUCUCUUUGCAGAGAGCUGGAGGGCAGAGAGACCACGUCUGGUUAACACCGCAAUGGCACAAGAAAAUGUGGAAUCCCACAUCUGCCAACAGUGUUGGAGUAAUACAGCUGUUGUCCGUUGUCGUGAUUGUCGACCCCACCCCUUCUUCUGUGCUGAAUGUGAUGCCAGCAUGCACAUCAGACACCCCCUCCACAACAGAGAUGCCAGUACCGCAGGAUUCUUCCAGCCAUUGCCCCCAACAACAUUUGUACUGAAUAAGGCCCUUUGCCCCUGUGGUAAGUUCUGGUUUGCAAGUGUACAAAAUAUAUUUCCGUGCUGGACUUGCUGAGCACAUUAGUUGAAAAUUUUAGUUUCCUCAAGAUGUCUUUAAUUCUUUUCAGCAGUAUGCUUCAUGUCCAUUAAGUCUUUUUUAAUUUUCUCAUGUUAAAUUCAGCCUUCAAGUGGAUUCAGAAAUCUAUAAAUGUUUUAUUUCCCAGUCGAUACAAAAGAAUCUUAAUUCAUGUUUGAUUUUUUUUUUUUCCAGUGCGGUUUGUACCCGUGGAGAUGCCUGACAAAAUCUGUGGUUGUCCAACAGAGGCAUUGAGGCUCAAACCAGGAAAGGCUGUGGCUGUGAUCACAAUGAAUGGUAGGAAUGUGGAGAACUUUUGUCCUGUUUGAAAAGUAUCUUUUUAAUAAUAUUUAUCCCUUCUCAACAACUCGUACAUGUUUGUUAUAGCUUUGUAUAUGAAAUCUUAAUACCACAAUUGAGUAAUAUUUACCACAUUCGAACAAAAACAUAUAUAAUUAUAUAUAAUUAAUAUUAGGGGUGUCAACGUUUACAAUUUGUUCUACACGUGUAAACAGGGCUUCUAACCGACGUGUACACGCUUACACGUCGGAGAUUUAUGAUCUCUUUCUAUCGCAGUUGUGGUAGCACCGAUGCCAGCAGCAGUCUCUCCCUCCAAAUUGUUCGGGUGUUUCCAUCACAGGUGGUUUAGCAUGGAUCCCGUGCUGUUGUUGUAAGCCAACUUUGCCUGACAUAGCCUACACUCAACUUGAUUUCCACUGGCAGUUUGUUCAAAAAACACACAGUGCUCCGCUUGUUGACCGCCGCCAUCGUGUCCCCCAGUCAACUUGAAGUGACGUGACGUGACGUGACGCGACACUGGCUGUGGCUGCGGGUUUUGUUUUGUUUUUUUAUAUCAACGUAACAUUGUGCCCCAUUCAUCUAUUAUGUAUGCGGAUAACUGCACUAGUGGGAACAUUUAAGUGUAUAGUUAGUUAAUGUUAUUAUCUGAAGCUUUCAGGUAACAUUAUCUUACUUUUACUUUUAAAAAUUGCGUCCGUCCAAUUUUCCUUCGGGCGUCGGUAUCAAUUUAUAGCGGGUCGGCUCUGGUAUGGAAUGUAAUCUGUGCUACUGUCGGAUAACGGGUCGGAUGCGGUGACCAGUGCAGGACUCUGGUCUAAGUGACCAUUUUAAUCCUCUAGC